rnacentral:rRNA from 1 species
CGGGUGCUAAGGUCCGUCGUGAAAAGGGAAACAGCCCUGACCUGCAGCUAAGGCCCCUAAUUCGUGGCUAAGUGGGAAAGCAUGUGGGGACGACCAAAACAACCAGGAUGUUGGCUUAGAAGCAGCCAUCAUUUUAAAGAAAGCGUAACAGCUCACUGGUCUAGACAAGUUGUCCUGCGGCGAAGAUGUAACGGGGCUCAAGCCACGAGCCGAAGCUCAGGAUGCAUCGCAAGAUGCGUGGUAGCGGAGCGUUCUGUCUAUGUAGACCCUGCCUCUUCAGCGCCCCUCGGGGCGGUGCGGAGGUGAGGGUCUCGGCGAUGAAGCCGGCCUGUGAGGGACCGGUGGAGCAUUCAGAAGCGAGAAUGUUGACAUGAGUAGCGAUAAAGAGGGUGAGAGACCCUCUCGCCGAAAGUCCAAGGGUUCCUGCUUAAAGCUAAUCUGAGCAGGGUGAGCCGACCC